rnacentral:rRNA from 1 species
AGCAGCCGCGGUAAUUCCAGCUCCAAUAGCGUAUAUUAAAGCUGUUGCAGUUAAAAAGUUCGUAGUUGAAUUUCGGGAUUAGUAAGUUGGUCGUGCCUCUGGUAUGUACUGGCUUUACUGGUUCCUCCUUCUUGAAGAACUGUAAUGUCAUUAAUUUGGUGUUGCAGGGAAACAGGACUGUUACUUUGAAAAAAUUAGAGUGUUUAAAGCAGGCUAACGCUUGAAUACAUUAGCAUGGAAUAAUGAAAUAGGACGUUUGAUCCUAUUUUGUUGGUUUCUAGGAUUGACGUAAUGAUUAAUAGGGAUAGUUGGGGGCAUUAGUAUUCAAUUGUCAGAGGUGAAAUUCUUGGAUUUAUUGAAGACUAACUACUGCGAAAGCAUUUGCCAAGGAUGUUUUCAUUAAUCAAGAACGAAAGUUAGGGGAUCGAAGACGAUCAGAUACCGUCGUAGUCUUAACCAUAAACUAUGCCGACUAGGGAUCGGAUGAUGUUAAUUUUUUAAUGACUCAUUCGGCGCCUUA